rnacentral:rRNA from 1 species
AUUGAACGCUGGCGGCAGGCCUAACACAUGCAAGUCGAACGGUAACAGGAAGAAUCUUGCUUCUUUGCUGACGAGUGGCGGACGGGUGAGUAAUGUCUGGGAAACUGCCUGAUGGAGGGGGAUAACUACUGGAAACGGUAGCUAAUACCGCAUAACGUCGCAAGACCAAAAAGGGGGACCUUCGGGCCUCUUGCCAUCGGAUGUGCCCAGAUGGUAUUAGCUAGUAGGUGGGGUAACGGCUCACCUAGGCGACGAUCCCUAGCUGGUCUGAGAGGAUGACCAGCCACACUGGAACUGAGACACGGUCCAGACUCCUAAGGGAGGCAGCAGUGGGGAAUAUUGCACAAUGGGCGCAAGCCUGAUGCAGCCAUACCGCGUGUAUGAAGAAGGCCUUCGGGUUGUAAAGUACUUUCAGCGGGGAGGAAGGGAGUAAAGUUAAUACCUUUGCUCAUUGACGUUACCCGCAGAAGAAGCACCGGCUAACUCCGUG